CGCCGCGUUGCCAUCGCAACCGCACAGGCUGCAGCGGGCCGCGCCCCGCGCUAGGCCGCGCCUGGCCCGGCGCACCGGGACGAGCCGCCGUGAGGCCUGCGCGGGCGUCCCCACACCCCGAGCGGGGAAAGCGGUGAGCUCCAUCCGCACCGCACCGCCGGCCCCAGCCCCGGGCCAGCUGCGUGGCUGUGGGUCCCUGGCGCCCCGCAUUGCGGCUCUGCUGCAGCACGAGGGGCUGGAAGGAGCCGGCCGGGAGGGACCCACGGGAUGGGGUUUGCUGACGCCUUGCUGUUCUUUAUUUUAAAACAUGUUAAUGGUCUCCAUGAAGUCUGAGUGGAUCAGAAAUACCGAAUCCAGAUGGGUGGAAGCAGCCACACGGAGAGCUGGGCCAUUCCUGGGCUGAGGCUCUUGCCUUUCUGCUGGGAGAAGUGACUAAUGGUUGCUGCGAGAGAAGGGGGAAGAAUGUGGAGGCAUUUGUGUAACAAAGAACUAUAAAUCAUCUCCAAUAUCCAUCACUCACCAAGCGAUGCUGUCAGCAGCUUCAAGAGUGAGGAAAUGGGAAAUGGUCUCCUCAUCGGUUGACUGGGAAGUCUCUUUGUGUAAGGAAUCAGGAGCUCUGCUCCUGAGACAGCAAUGCCAGGCGGGCACAAAGCCCUGGCAGUGUGCUCCAGUCCUUCAGCACGUGCAGCCCUGGGGCUGAGCCAGCACCUUACACCAAAGUCAAUCUGCCCUGGAGCCGUGGCAGGGGGCAGUGCUGGGACUCGGGCCGCAAGGGGUCAUGUCAUGUGUCGGGGGUGAAAGGGCGAAGUGGGUGAAAUAAAGAA